AGGCUUAACACAUGCAAGUCGAGCGGGCGAGGUUGCUUCGGUAACUGAGCUAGCGGCGGACGGGUGAGUAAUGCUUAGGAAUCUGCCUAUUAGUGGGGGACAACAUUCCGAAAGGAAUGCUAAUACCGCAUACGCCCUACGGGGGAAAGCAGGGGAUCUUCGGACCUUGCGCUAAUAGAUGAGCCUAAGUCAGAUUAGCUAGUUGGUGGGGUAAAGGCCUACCAAGGCGACGAUCUGUAGCGGGUCUGAGAGGAUGAUCCGCCACACUGGGACUGAGACACGGCCCAGACUCCUACGGGGGGCAGCAGUGGGGAAUAUUGGACAAUGGGCGAAAGCCUGAUCCAGCCAUGCCGCGUGUGUGAAGAAGGCCUUUUGGUUGUCCAGCACUUUAAGCGAGGAGGAGGCUACCGAGAUUAAUACUCUUGGAUAGUGGACGUUACUCGCAGAAUAAGCACCGGCUAACUCUGUGCCAGCAGCCGCGGUAAUACAGAGGGUGCGAGCGUUAAUCGGAUUUACUGGGCGUAAAGCGUGCGUAGGCGGCUUCUUAAGUCGGAUGUGAAAUCCCUGAGCUUAACUUAGGAAUUGCAUUCGAUACUGGGAAGCUAGAGUAUGGGAGAGGAUGGUAGAAUUCCAGGUGUAGCGGUGAAAUGCGUAGAGAUCUGGAGGUAUACCGAUGGCGAAGGCAGCCAUCUGGUCCUAAUACUGACG
rnacentral:rRNA from 1 species